UACGUAGGGAGCAAGCGUUGUCCGGAAUCAUUGGGCGUAAAGCGCGCGUAGGCGGCCCUGUAAGUCCGUUGUGAAAGUCAAAGGCUCAACCUUUGAAAGCCGAUGGAUACUGCAGGGCUAGAGUCCGGAAGAGGCGAGUGGAAUUCCUGGUGUAGCGGUGGAAUGCGCAGAUAUCAGGAAGAACACCCGUGGCGAAGGCGGCUCUCUGGGACGGUACUGACGCUGAGACGCGAAAGCGUGGGGAGCGAACAGG
rnacentral:rRNA from 1 species